rnacentral:rRNA from 1 species
AUAGUUAGGCCUACAAGAUACGUGCAGUCUAGCGGACCGACGGGAGCUUGCUCCCUUAGGUCAGCGGCGGACGGGUGAGUAACACGUGGGUAACCUGCCUGUAAGACUGGGAUAACUCCGGGAAACCGGGGCUAAUACCGGAUGCUUGAUUGAACCGCAUGGUUCAAUCAUAAAAGGUGGCUUUUAGCUACCACUUACAGAUGGACCCGCGGCGCAUUAGCUAGUUGGUGAGGUAACGGCUCACCAAGGCGACGAUGCGUAGCCGACCUGAGAGGGUGAUCGGCCACACUGGGACUGAAACACGGCCCAAACUCCUACGGGAGGCAGCAGUAGGGAAUCUUCCGCAAUGGACGAAAGUCUGACGGAGCAACGCCGCGUGAGUGAUGAAGGUUUUCGGAUCGUAAAACUCUGUUGUUAGGGAAGAACAAGUACCGUUCGAAUAGGGCGGUACCUUGACGGUACCUAACCAGAAAGCCACGGCUAACUACGUGCCAGCAGCCGCGGUAAUACGUAGGUGGCAAGCGUUGUCCGGAAUUAUUGGGCGUAAAGCGCGCGCAGGCGGUUUCUUAAGUCUGAUGUGAAAGCCCCCGGCUCAACCGGGGAGGGUCAUUGGAAACUGGGGAACUUGAGUGCAGAAGAGGAGAGUGGAAUUCCACGUGUAGCGGUGAAAUGCGUAGAGAUGUGGAGGAACACCAGUGGCGAAGGCGACUCUCUGGUCUGUAACUGACGCUGAGGCGCGAAAGCGUGGGGAGCGAACAGGAUUAGAUACCCUGGUAGUCCACGCCGUAAACGAUGAGUGCUAAGUGUUAGAGGGUUUCCGCCCUUUAGUGCUGCAGCAACGCAUUAGCACUCCGCCUGGGGAGUACGGUCGCAGACUGAAACUCAAAGGAAUUGACGGGGCCCGCACAGCGGUGGAGCAGA